AAGUCGUAACAAGGUUUCCGUAGGUGAACCUGCGGAAGGAUCAUUACCGAGCCCAUGCCCCCCGGGGUAGAUCUCCCACCCCUGUCUACUCUACCUGUCGUUGCUUUGGCGGGUCGUCCGUCCCGGCCGCCGGCUUCCCGCUGGCGUGUGCCCGCCAAAGGACCCCAAACCCUUACAUCAGCGUGUCGUCCGAGUACUAUUCAAUAGUUAAAA
rnacentral:misc_RNA from 1 species